rnacentral:rRNA from 1 species
AUACGAAGGGUGCAAGCGUUACUCGGAAUUACUGGGCGUAAAGCGUGCGUAGGUGGUUUUUUAAGUCUGCUGUGAAAGCCCCGGGCUCAACCUGGGAAUUGCAGUGGAUACUGGAGAGCUAGAGUGCGGUAGAGGGUAGUGGAAUUCCCGGUGUAGCGGUGAAAUGCGUAGAGAUCGGGAGGAACACCAGUGGCGAAGGCGGCUACCUGGACCAGCA